rnacentral:tRNA from 2 species
AGGCGCGUAGCUCAGCUGGUUAGAGCACUUCCUUGACAUGGAAGGGGUCGUUGGUUCGAGUCCAAUCGCGCCUACCA